rnacentral:rRNA from 1 species
AUACGGAGGGUGCGAGCGUUGUUCGGAAUUAUUGGGCGUAAAGCGCGUGUAGGCGGUUUGUUAAGUCUGAUGUGAAAGCCCCGGGCUCAACCUGGGAAGUGCAUUGGAAACUGGGAGGCUUGAGUACGGGAGAGGAGAGUGGAAUUCCUAGUGUAGGAGUGAAAUCCGUAGAUAUCAGGAGGAACACCGGUGGCGAAGGCGGCUGCCUGGACCGAUAUUGACGCUGAGACGCGAAAGCGU